AAUCAACGCUGGCGGCGUGCCUAACACAUGCAAGUCGCACGAGAAAGUGGAGCAAUCCAUGAGUAAAGUGGCGCACGGGUGAGUAACACGUGAAUGAUCUACCUCCGAGUGGGGAAUAACUGAGAGAAAUCUUAGCUAAUACCGCAUAAUACCCACGGGUCAAAGCAGCAAUGCGCUUGGAGAGGAGUUCGCGGCCGAUUAGCUAGUUGGCGGGGUAAUGGCCCACCAAGGCGAUGAUCGGUAUCCGGCCUGAGAGGGCGCACGGACACA
rnacentral:rRNA from 1 species